rnacentral:rRNA from 1 species
UACCAGCACCCCGAGUGGUCGGGACGUUUAUUGGGCCUAAAGCAUCCGUAGCCGGUUCUACAAGUCUUCCGUUAAAUCCAGCUGCUUAGCAGAUGGGCUGCGGAAGAUACUAUGGAGCUAGGAGGCGGGAGAGGCAAGCGGUACUCGAUGGGUAGGGGUAAAAUCCGUUGAUCCAUUGAAGACCACCAGUGGCGAAGGCGGCUUGCCAGAACGCGCUCGACGGUGAGGGAUGAAAGCUGGGGGAGCAAACCGG